CAGGCCGCGUGUGAGCGGUUCCUCGCGAGACAUUUCCUCACGUGACACGAGCUGACACGGCGGCGCGCCCAAGCAAUUUUCCCUUCACUUGUUCGCCAGUUACGGCUGGCCACUGACGACAGGGGCAGAGGGAGACAAGACCUGGUAUUUGCAGCUGUUUGCUUCACUUCACGCCGGCUGACAGUCUAUGGGACAGUCACAAGCCUCCCUGUUUUCAUCCAGAAUAUCCUAAAUUGUGUUCCGAAGAUGAACAAAGCUUUAAUGGGUUUGGAACGACAUGGGGGAAGCUGUUUUUGGCAGUGUUACAGGGGCCCAUCUUGAGCAGUUAUGCCUGACUGCAGCUCUGCUGGAUCAAGCAGCUUCUCAUUAGCCAACUGUCGCAGGAGGUUCUGAUGUCCAUCCAGUCGCCGCCGGUGUUCACGGGGUCGUGGCGGGAAAUUCUGCGUCCUUGUUUGCAUCGGAGAACGAAUGGAAUGUUGAAACUCUUAGUAGCUGUUUGGACUCUCAUUCUGACGGCACCCAUUCACUGCAGAGGAUUCAUUAGUGGGCAAGUGAUGGAGUGCUACAUUUUUCCAAAUCUUAUGAAGAAACAAACUCAUCUGCAUCUUGGAUGGCCUGAGGUGCAUGACUCGAACCCGGAACUGAACAUAACUCUCAGCAUGAGUCCAGCCCGCAGGAGGAGGAAAUAAGACGUGACACCAAUAUAACUGACAAAACGGAUGCACACUCCAUAAUGCACCAGCAGGACACUGAAACAACCACUGAUUUUGUUUCCCAAGGCAUUAAGAAAGGCUUUAAAUAACUAAUUUAGACAUAUGGAUGACAUCACUGCUUUAUGCAUAUUCUACAUUACAUUACACAUGUGCAGCACAAUAAGAAAGAAAGAAAGAAAGAAAGAAAAGCUUCCUCUUGUCACUUCCC
ensembl:lncRNA